UGCCGAGUCGUCUAAUGGUAGGACGUCUCCCUUUGGAGGAGAAUAUUCCUGGUUCGAAUCCAGGCUCGGCAA
rfam:Candidatus Collierbacteria bacterium RIFCSPHIGHO2_01_FTLL_50_25 rifcsphigho2_01_scaffold_754, whole genome shotgun sequence.